GGCCAGGUGGGCAGGGUGAUGGCCAGGUGGGCAGGGUGAUGGCCAGGGGAUCACCACGGUGGACCAUCUUGGGCAGGCAGGGUGCUAAGGGUUUUCACAGCCGCCUGCCCAGGGUGACCCUGGACCCAGGGCACUGGGGGAGGGGCGGUGCUAGGGAGCCCUCUGUCAGGAGACCCUGGGCCUCGCACCACUCUGUCCACCUUGAACGUGGCAGUCCAGUCUGGGACAUUUCUCACGUCCCUCUCCGACUGCCCCACCUGUCCGUCAGACUCCACACCCUGUGGGCCGUUGCCUCUCCUGAAACCUUAUCCUCCUUUCUCUGCCCAGAAAACUCCUAUUGAUCCUUCUCACUAAGCCACAGCGAAGUGUGUUGUCCCUGAACAGAGGAGACGGGACCCUGUCUGUGGGGUGUGCCUCCCCGGGCCCCAGUGGAGCUCCUUCACUAUCCCGUGGCUCUGGCAUCCCCGGCUUGUGACCUCUGCCUCCCAUGUCUUGUGGCCUUCUGAGUGUCUCAGUGUCCCAGAUCUCUCUCUUUCUCUUUUUUUCUGAAGACACUGCACACGUCGAGGGUUCACAGUGAUCCCUGUUUUCAUCGAGCCUGGCUGCAGGCCCUGUUCUGGGCGGGCAGGUUCCUGCUCGGGGACCUGCGGCGCUGGCACUUGUGCAGAUUCCUCUUUUCAGAGCUGAGCAUCAAGGUCUCUGGCACCUGCACUGAGCUCCUCGUCCACGCUCCGCCAGAGGCCCAUUUUCCUUGUUGGUGCGUUGUGGGGGUGUCCAGGGGUGGGUUCUUUUCGACAUGGCCACACAUGCCUGGAGUUCCGUUUACUGUUUCAGUGACCCCAACCGCCCUCUUCCGCAACUGUGCUGCCCCCGUCCACUCAUUUACUGGCUUGGUUGUGUUGGUGCUGUGUGGAUGCCCAUGCAGGAGGUCCAUUUAUACACGCACAGCGCCAUCUGUUGAACGCUUUCCACACUCUCCACUCCCCUGCGCACCACCCAGCCGCCCUCUUCCCUCUGCGCCGAGCUUCCCUGUGAUGUCCAGUCCCCUGCCUGUCCCCUUCGUCUUGCUCCACUUGCACCGUGAGAGAACACUUGGCCCUGGCCUGUCCCAGCCUCGCUGAUCUCACUUAGCAUCAUGUUCUCCGGCUCCUCCCAGUUACUGCCAAAUGCCAUGACUUAAUUCUUUUGGCUUAGUAGAGAACCAUCUGUGCCACAUUGUCUUUAUCCAUUCAGCUGUUGAUGGCCACCUGGGCUGGUUCCACAGCUUGGCUAUUGUGAGCUGUGCUGCUGUAAACAUUGAGGUGGCUGCGUCACGAUAGGGUGCUGAUUUUGGUUCUUUUGAUGAAUACCCAGGAGUGGCAUAGCUGGGUCACAUGGUAGUUCCCUUCCGAGUUCUUUGAGGACUCUUCAUUCGGCUUUCCAGAGUGGCUGCACUGAUUUGCAGUCCCACUAACAAUGAACGACUGUAAAUUUCCCCCAGAUCCUUGCCAGCGUUAUUAUUUGUGUUCUUGAAGAGUGCCAUUCUACCACAAUGACAUGGAAUCUCAGUGGAGUUUUUUUUGUUUGUUUUGUUUUUGUUUUGGUACUCGGGAUUCAACCCAGGGCACUCAGGCACUGAGCCACAUCCCCAGCCAUUGUUUAUGUUUUAUUUACAGACAGGGCCUGGCCAAGUUCCUGGGGCUGGCUUUGAACUCAUGAUCUUUUAACCCCUGUCUUUGAUCCCCACUGUGACAUGACUUUCCAGAGGGUCCAUCUUCACGGUUCCUGAGCUCUGCUGUCACUUCCUGAUCCACGAGGAGGCCAUACUUGUAUAAGGGUUCAUCUUGUGUCGUCUGUCUGUGAGUUUGACAGACAAACAACAGGUUGUUGCGGCAAUGAUCCUGGAGACAACCCGACUCCCCUGGUUACCCCUCCCUAUCAAACCUGCUGGCUAGUGCUGUUGGUGAAGCUGCAGCACAGAGCAGGCACCACUGCCGGGGAUCCUCAUCCUUCCUGGGUUGUGCCUGUCAGCCUCCCCGCCUCCCUCCCAGCCUCCCUCCCAGCCUCCCACUCUCUGCCUCUGGAUUUCUGCAGCGGCUGCCCCACCCCAGGUCUCUCUCUGCAUGGUCUGUUCUCCCCCACAGGCGUUAGAGGGCACCCCAGCACCUGAGGUGCAUGUGCCUGAUCUGAUCCCAGUCCUCUGUCUGGCAUCAAGAUGCAUUGUCGGUGGGCUGGGGUUGGGGCUCAGUGGCAGGGCGCUCGCCGAGCAUGUGUGAGGCCCUGGGUUCCAUUUGUUAGACCAGGACGCAGGAAAAGACCACUGACUCCAAUUAAAGUCAGAUUAAAGCCAGCUUAUGAUUCCAACCGGCCGGGCUGCCUCUCCCAACAAGAACCUCGGGGACAAGAGCCCCACAGCUUUCCUGCAGCCCAGCUUUAUAGCCCAGAAAGUCACACACGGGGUGUGUGUGUGUGUCAUAGAUGACAAAACUCUGAGGAGCAUAACACAGAGGCUAGUUUACGUUUUUGCUGGCCCCGACGUAAGAAUUCAUGAAGGUUGGGGCUGGGGAUGUGGCUCAGGCGGUAGCGCGCUCGCCUGGCAUGCGUGCGGCCCGGGUUCGAUCCUCAGCACCACAUACAAACAAAGAUGUUGUGUCCGC
rnacentral:lncRNA from 1 species